rnacentral:miRNA from 1 species
GGAGAAUUGCUUGAAUCUGGGAGGCAGAGGCUGCAGUAAGCCGAGAUCAUGCCACUGCACUCCAGCCUGAGUGACAGAGCAAGACUCUGUCUCA